rnacentral:rRNA from 1 species
UACAGAGGGUGCAAGCGUUGUUCGGAAUUAUUGGGCGUAAAGGGCGCGUAGGCGGGCUGUCAAGUUUGGGGUGAAAUCCCGCGGCUCAACCGUGGAACUGCCUCAAAUACUGACGGCCUCGAGGAAGGUAGGGGCAUGCGGAACUGUAGGUGGAGCGGUGAAAUGCGUUGAUAUCUACAGGAACUCCGGUGGCGAAAGCGGCGUGCUGGACCUUUUCUGACGCUGAGGCGCGAAAGCUAGGGGAGCAAACGGG